UACGAAGGGGGCUAGCGUUGCUCGGAAUUACUGGGCGUAAAGGGCGCGUAGGCUGAUCGUUAAGUCAGCGGUGAAAUCCCGGGGCUCAACCUCGGAACUGCCCUUGAUACUGGCGAUCUUGAGUAUGAGAGAGGUAUGUGGAACUCCGAGUGUAGAGGUGAAAUUCGUAGAUAUUCGGAAGAACACCAGUGGCGAAGGCGACAUACUGGCUCAUUACUGACGCUGAGGCGCGAAAGCGUGGGGAGCAAACAGG
rnacentral:rRNA from 1 species